rnacentral:miRNA from 1 species
GUUCUGGGUAUAAGCUUUUGUGUGCAUGCACACAUCUUCAGAUACCAAGAAUAAUAUCUGAAGAAGUGUGCAUGCACACAAAAGCUUAUACCCAGAGC